AACGAUGAUCCCAGCUUGCUGGGGGAUUAGUGGCGAACGGGUGAGUAACACGUGAGUAACCUGCCCUUGACUCUGGGAUAAGCCUGGGAAACUGGGUCUAAUACCGGAUAUGACUCCUCAUCGCAUGGUGGGGGGUGGAAAGCUUUUGUGGUUUUGGAUGGACUCGCGGCCUAUCAGCUUGUUGGUGGGGUAAUGGCCUACCAAGGCGACGACGGGUAGCCGGCCUGAGAGGGUGACCGGCCACACUGGGACUGAGACACGGCCCAGACUCCUACGGGAGGCAGCAGUGGGGAAUAUUGCACAAUGGGCGCAAGCCUGAUGCAGCGACGCCGCGUGAGGGAUGACGGCCUUCGGGUUGUAAACCUCUUUCAGUAGGGAAGAAGCGAAAGUGACGGUACCUGCAGAAGAAGCGCCGGCUAACUACGUGCCAGCAGCCGCGGUAAUACGUAGGGCGCAAGCGUUAUCCGGAAUUAUUGGGCGUAAAGAGCUCGUAGGCGGUUU
rnacentral:rRNA from 1 species